GCGCGCGAAGGUUUCUACUAUCGCGAGAACGUGACGUGUGCAGUAGUAUAAAAGACUCCCUCCGCACUGAGUGCGCUCUCUUGAGGUCGUGAGCUUCACUUUGCGUGAAACAUCUCCAACAUGAGAGCGAAGUGGAGAAAGAAGCGCAUGCGCAGGCUGAAGCGCAAAAGGAGAAAGAUGAGGCAGAGGUCCAAGUAAGCAGCAAGCUGAAACUACUGCAUCUGAGAUCCUGGUCAUCUUGUUCCCUUUUGGCGAGUGUUACGGAAAAGUCUAAUUGAAGAGGCACAGUCCAUCUCCCAUCAAACGGUCGAGUGCCGGCAAACGAGUUUCCACACUGUGUCCAGCCUGUCUGUUUGGAUGUUUCAGCUUUCCUCUUUUGGACUUUUCCAGACAUUCCAGUGCAACAUCUUUUUGUUAAUACUCGUUCAAUAAAAGUCUGGUAAAAUGUA